AGGAGCCUGGCCCCUCCUCUUCCUGUGUGGAAGCUGGGAUUCCAAUGGCAGGCAGGAAAUCCUCUAGUAGGUGAUCGUGGCCUUCCUUGGGAUCUCUGUUUCCCCCUUUUAUUCCCUUUUCACCCAGUAAAACCCUGCUUUGCUCACUCUUUAAAGCAUCUGUGAGCGUAAAUUUUUGUGGCCAUGGGACGGACAAGAACCACAUGUUUACCUGAAGUCCUGUGACAUUUUGGUGUGCAGCACGGGAGCUCCAAAAGUGAGUCAAGUGAACUUAUUUUGAACGAUUUAUGGCCUUUAAUAAUUACAUAAGGUAUAUACUCCUGUGAUCAAAAUUUGGAGCAUGUUUGUUUCUCUCUGCCUGGUUCCUCCAGAAUUUAGAACCUAUCUCCAUUUAAGACAUGUCUUUUGCCUUCUGUCAUGAUUGUGAGGCCUCCCCAGCCAAGUGCAACUACAUUCUUUCAGAUGCCAGAGGAUGCUAUAGAAAAAUGCGUGCCCUCUUGUAAUACUUUGUUCAAGUUCUGAUCAGAAGGAUGAAUGAUGGAGCCCAAGAAGCCAGAGUCUCAUUGUGUUGCUCAGGCUGGAAUCCAGUGGCAUGAUCUCGGCUCAGUGCAACCUCCGCCUCCUGGGUUCAAGCAGUUCUCCUACAUCAGCAUCAGCGUUCCGAGUAGCUGGGAUUACAGGCACCCGCCACCAUGCCUGGCUAAUGUUGGUCAGGCUGGCUCGAACUCCUGACCUCAAGAGAUCCACCUGCUUUGGCCUCCCAAAGUGCUCGGAUUACAGGCAUGAGCUGCCACACCCAGCCUCCAAAUACUUUUUUUUAAAAUCAAAAUAAUGAUUUCAAUGACUGAGAUCUGUUAUGUAUUUCAACAUAAUCAUGUUUCAUAAAGAUUUAGUCUUCUGAAA